rnacentral:rRNA from 1 species
AUUGAACGCUGGCGGCAGGCCUAACACAUGCAAGUCGAACGGUAACAGGAAGAAGCUUGCUUCUUUGCUGACGAGUGGCGGACGGGUGAGUAAUGUCUGGGAAACUGCCUGAUGGAGGGGGAUAACUACUGGAAACGGUAGCUAAUACCGCAUAACGUCGCAAGACCAAAGAGGGGGACCUUCGGGCCUCUUGCCAUCGGAUGUGCCCAGAUGGGAUUAGCUAGUAGGUGGGGUAACGGCUCACCUAGGCGACGAUCCCUAGCUGGUCUGAGAGGAUGACCAGCCACACUGGAACUGAGACACGGUCCAGACUCCUACGGGAGGCAGCAGUGGGGAAUAUUGCACAAUGGGCGCAAGCCUGAUGCAGCCAUGCCGCGUGUAUGAAGAAGGCCUUCGGGUUGUAAAGUACUUUCAGCGGGGAGGAAGGGAGUAAAGUUAAUACCUUUGCUCAUUGACGUUACCCGCAGAAGAAGCACCGGCUAACUCCGUGCCAGCAGCCGCGGUAAUACGGAGGGUGCAAGCGUUAAUCGGAAUUACUGGGCGUAAAGCGCACGCAGGCGGUUUGUUAAGUCAGAUGUGAAAUCCCCGGGCUCAACCUGGGAACUGCAUCUGAUACUGGCAAGCUUGAGUCUCGUAGAGGGGGGUAGAAUUCCAGGUGUAGCGGUGAAAUGCGUAGAGAUCUGGAGGAAUACCGGUGGCGAAGGCGGCCUCCUGGACGAAGACUGACGCUCAGGUGCGAAAGCGUGGGGAGCAAACAGG